CUGAAAACACCGGUUCUCGUUCGAUCACCGAAGUUAAGCAUCGUAGAGCCAGGUCAGUACUUAGAUGGGGACCGCUUGGGAACACCUGGUACUGUAAG